rnacentral:tRNA from 1 species
GGCCCGGUGGCAGAGUGGUGAUGCAGGGGACUGCAAAUCCCCGCACGUCGGUUCGAUUCCGGCCCGGGCCUCCA